rnacentral:rRNA from 1 species
GACGAACCGUGCGAACGUUGUUCGGAUUCACUGGGCUUAAAGGGCGCGUAGGCGGGCGGUCAAGUCAGGGGUGAAAUCUUUCGGCUCAACCGGAAAAGUGCCUUUGAUACUGGCCGCCUCGAGGGAGGUAGGGGCAUGUGGAACUUCCGGUGGAGCGGUGAAAUGCGUAGAUAUCGGAAGGAACGCCGGUGGCGAAAGCGACGUGCUGGACCUCUUCUGACGCUGAGGCGCGAAAGCCAGGGGAGCAAACGGGAUUAGAUACCCCGGUAGUCCUGGCCCUAAACGAUGGGUACUGGGUAGUGGACUUAACAUGGGUUCACUGCCGAAGCAAAAGUGUUAAGUACCCCGCCUGGGGAGUAUGGUCGCAAGGCUGAA